rnacentral:rRNA from 1 species
UACGUAGGGGGCAAGCGUUGUCCGGAAUGACUGGGCGUAAAGGGAGCGUAGGUGGCUCUUUAAGUUAGAUGUGAAAUCCCAAGGCUUAACCUUGGAACUGCAUCUAAGACUGGAGAGCUGGAGUGUGGGAGAGGAUAGCGGAAUUCCUAGUGUAGCGGUGGAAUGCGUAGAUAUUAGGAGGAACACCAGAGGCGAAGGCGGCUAUCUGGACCAUAACUGACACUGAGGCUCGAAAGCGUGGGGAGCAAACAGG